CAUGCAAGUCGAACGGCAGCAUGAUCUAGCUUGCUAGAUUGAUGGCGAGUGGCGAACGGGUGAGUAAUACAUCGGAACGUGCCCUGUAGUGGGGGAUAACUAGUCGAAAGAUUAGCUAAUACCGCAUACGACCUGAGGGUGAAAGUGGGGGACCGCAAGGGCCUCAUGCUAUAGGAGCGGCCGAUGUCUGAUUAGCUAGUUGGUGAGGUAAAGGCUCACCAAGGCGACGAUCAGUAGCUGGUCUGAGAGGACGAUCAGCCACACUGGGACUGAGACACGGCCCAGACUCCUACGGGAGGCAGCAGUGGGGAAUUUUGGACAAUGGGCGAAAGCCUGAUCCAGCAAUGCCGCGUGUGUGAAGAAGGCCUUCGGGUUGUAAAGCACUUUUGUCCGGAAAGAAAUGGCUCUGGUUAAUACCUGGGGUCGAUGACGGUACCGGAAGAAUAAGGACCGGCUAACUACGUGCCAGCAGCCGCGGUAAUACGUAGGGUCCAAGCGUUAAUCGGAAUUACUGGGCGUAAAGCGUGCGCAGGCGGUUGUGCAAGACCGAUGUGAAAUCCCCGAGCUUAACUUGGGAAUUGCAUUGGUGACUGCACGGCUAGAGUGUGUCAGAGGGGGGUAGAAUUCCACGUGUAGCAGUGAAAUGCGUAGAGAUGUGGAGGAAUACCGAUGGCGAAGGCAGCCCCCUGGGAUAACACUGACGCUCAUGCACGAAAGCGUGGGGAGCAAACAGGAUUAGAUACCCUGGUAGUCCACGCCCUAAACGAUGUCAACUAGUUGUUGGGGAUUCAUUUCCUUAGUAACGUAGCUAACCGCGUGAAGUGCCGCCUGGA
rnacentral:rRNA from 1 species